rnacentral:rRNA from 1 species
GAUGAACGCUGGCGGCGUGCCUAACACAUGCAAGUCGAACGGAGUCCAGCCUUUAAGACCUUCGGGUCAAAGAGGGGAAGACUGAGUGGCGGACGGGUGAGUAACACGUGGGCAACCUGGCUCAUAGAGGGGGAUAACAGAGAGAAAUUUCUGCUAAUACCGCAUAAGCACACACUGCCGCAUGGCAGAGGGUGAAAAGAGAAUCGCUAUGAGAUGGACCCGCGUCUGAUUAGCCAGUUGGCAGGGUAAGAGCCUACCAAAGCGACGAUCAGUAGCCGAUCGGAGAGGAUGAACGGCCACAUUGGGACUGAGACACGGCCCAAACUCCUACGGGAGGCAGCAGUGGGGGAUAUUGCACAAUGGGGGGAACCCUGAUGCAGCGACGCCGCGUGAGUGAAGAAGUAUUUCGGUAUGUAAAGCUCUAUCAGCAGGGAAGAUAAUGACAGUACCUGAAUAAGAAGCCCCGGCUAACUACGUG